GUAAAAAUCAAAUGGAUAUCGUUAAAAUAUCACAUUUCGGAAAACGGAAGCGUGGUUCCGCAUUUACAUUUGAUUGUGACGUAGGCCGAGGAUAGGUCUACUUUAAUUAAUAAUUAAUGCGUAGUCUUGCACUUUUUAUCAUCAUGGUACGGACUUUCCUCGCAUUCAUUAACCUAUUCAUUUACGCAAACCGUACGCGCGUGUCUAGUUCUGGCUGUGCUAUAAGAAUUUCAUCCCCCAACCAAUAUCCUUUUUACUUCCGGAGGAUUUGAUGGUAUUCAAUCACCGUUUACAGUGAACCUUUCUUAGACAGACCGCUUCAUAUUUCCCGCGUUAGAAAAUGUAUGCAUCGAUUUUCUGGACCUGCUGAGAAAUAGCAUCCAUGUAACGAUUGGGUUGGGAAGUCCAAUGGCAUUCCUUUGCGACACCGGAAGACGAAAGUUGAGCGCCCUCUUAGUUGUUCUUGUUGUCUUGGAGAUCUUCAUCAUCUGCCUUGUUGUUUGCUAUGAGCACAAUUCGGCAAUCACGCAUGCUCUUCUUCGACAAGAAAUGGAGGUCAGGCGAGUUACACCGAGAGGCAUUGACGGCAUGUAAAAGUUGUGAAUACAGUUUAACACUGGAUGAACGAGGAAUUAACGUAGACUUCAUCAGUGAGUGCAGUCUUCUUCCAUUGGUGCUGAUGUUGAACUGAAAAUUUCACCGCAGAAGUCACAGAAAUGAAGCUGGCCGAGUGGGUCGCACAUGUUUAUUAUUCAAGACAACCUAUGCACAAUAGAAAUGCUUAUGUAUUAUUGUAUAUAGUAAUAUCUUCUUAGAAUAAUAAAAUAAAUAUUAAGAACAUAUA